UACGUAGGACCCAAGCGUUAUCCGGAGUGACUGGGCGUAAAGAGUUGCGUAGGCGGCUUGUUAAGUGAGUAGUGAAAUCGUGUGGCUCAACCAUUACGGCUAUUACUCAAACUGGCAAGCUCGAGAAUGGUAGAGGUAGCUGGAAUUUCUUGUGUAGGAGUGAAAUCCGUAGAUAUAAGAAGGAACACCAAUGGCGUAGGCAGGCUACUGGACCAUUUCUGACGCUGAGGCACGAAAGCGUGGGGAGCGAACCGG
rnacentral:rRNA from 1 species